UUAGAAAGAACAGAUCGGCUCACUUCGGGUCCCCUACUGCAAUUUUAUGAACAGUUUCUCAUAAGAUUGAAGUAGAGGAAACGAAAUCGAAGACACCCGAUCCGCACUCUCUCUUUUUAGACGACCAUAUUAUAUUGAAUCAUUACAAACAUUCAGAGUGUUAUGAAUUAACUCUUUCAUACCUUCAUACCGGCGUGUUGAAUGGUAGCAAUAAGCACUUGAUAGUAUUUAUACUGACGAGAAAAUUGUUAAUAUCUUCCCUACUCACUAGUAUAACUACAGAAAUAAAGAUUUUUUGUAUCACAUUGUUCCUUCAAAAUAAAUUUUUCUGAAGAUCAAGAAGUAAAGGCAAAAUUUGGAUUAUUCAACUGUGUGAUAAUAAAUUAGAUGAAAUUUUUGAUUUUUGUACCUACAAUUCAACCUUGGCUUCAAAAACUAUAAAGACUUCAAGGACUUACAAUUCCAAAAACUCGAUCUUACAAAAUGCCGCUUACUGAAUUACACAAGGUUAUUAAAAAAUUAGACUUUAAAGCUUUUGAAAGUUUGAUUGAAAGGAGCACAGACAUCAAUGCAGUUGACGAUGAAAAUAAAACACCAUUGCAUUACGCUUUCGCGAAUAAUCAUGAAGGAAAUAUGAUCUCAAGUCUGAUUGACCGUGGAGCAGACAUCAAUGCGAGAGAUAAUGAAGGCAAAACACCACUACAUUAUGCUGUUGAUGAUUUUACUACCAAAGUAAAUAAAUAUUCACCCAAAUACAAUAAAAACAAUGAUAUGAGUAUCUACAGCUUCAUCAUGCUUGAACACUUACUCAAUAAAGGACCAGAUAUCAAUGCGGUUGACAAUCAAAACAAAACACCAUUGCAUUAUGCUGCCGAAAAUAAGACCAACAGACAAAUAACUGAAUUUUUACUACCGUAUAAACCGGACGUCAAUGCAGUAGAUAAUAAAAAUAAAACACCAUUGCACUAUGCUGCUCAAAACAGCUUUAGAGCAAUGUUUUGUGUAAGUGUCUCAAGGACGGAUGAGGAAAUUGAUACUGCUGCGGAUAAUGCUGAGGCUGGUGAAGAGUCGCAGGAUAAUGAUUUUAACAGCGAAUUCAUUAUUAAGAAUUUAGUUGAUGCUGGAGCGAUUGUUGAUGCAGUCGAUAAUGAAGGAAGAACCCCAUUACAUUUGGCUAUUUAUCAUUCUAAUGAUCCAAUAGCAAUCAAGUACCUAAUUGACCACGGGGCAGACGUAAUUGCAGCCGAUCAUGAAGAAAAGCAACCAUUGCAUUUAGCGGCUCAACAUCCUGAUGCUAAGGAAAUUUUUGAAUAUUUAAUCGAGCAGGGAGCGGAUGUUAAUGUGGUGGAUCGCUGGAAACAAACACCAUUGCACUAUUCUGUAAUUCGUUCUUACCCAAUUGAUUGUAAUAAUGAAAAUCAGAUCGACGAACGAGUUGAAUGCUUACUCAAGCAUGGCGCGAAUGUCGAUGCUGUUGAUUACAAAGGUAAGACGGCUUUGCAUUAUGCUGUGGUCCCUAAAAAAAAUUCCCUGGAGAUUAUUGAAUUAUUGAUCAAACACAAAGCGAAUGUCGAUGCUGUUGAUUACAAAGAUAAGACGGCUUUGCAUUAUGCUGUGGUCUCUCAAAAAAAUUACCUGGAGAUGACUAAAUUAUUGGUUAAACACAAAGCGAACGUCAAUGCUGUUGACGAUGAAUGCAAAACACCACUGCAUUUAGCUCUCGAAAAUUCCAUCCCAGUGUGGAAAUUUUUAAUCGACCAUGGUGCUGAUGUCAACUCUAAGGAUCGUGCGCAUAGAACACCGUUGCACUAUGCGGUUUCUAAAGGUUGCAUUGAAAUUGUUAAGUACUUAGUCGAGCAUGGAGCGGAAGUUAAUGCAAGAGAUGAUGAAGAUAAAGUACCACUUCACUUAGCUUUUGGACCUUCUUUAACCUACAACUUGGUGGAGUAUUUAAUCGAUCAUAAAGCAGAUUACAAUGCGACCGAUCGUUGGUUGCAAACACCCUGCUAUUUAGCUGCCGGAAGCACCGACGCCGAAGGAAUUUUAGAGUAUUUAGUCGAUCGAGGAGCGAAUUUAAUGGCUAUGAAUUAUUAUUUCAAUAUACCAUCAUCAAGGCUUGUUAUGAAAAGCAGUAGUGAUGAGGAUGAUGAUCCACCGGUGGAAAUUUUUAAAAACUUGAAACGCCUGCGGGAUGAAUAAGCUCGACUACCCAGUUAGCACAGGUUGACUAUCAACCAAGUUGAUGUUCAAUGGUUUAUGUCAACUUUACGUUAACCGCCUCAAACUCCCCUCGCGGUUCUACAAUCACGGUAGAACAACGGUGAAACCACGUUCACGUGCAAAAAUAUAAUUAACAAGUUUAAAAAAAUAUGAGCUCUACGGGGAUUCGAUGUCCAGAUCCGAGGAAGUGCACGUGCACCAUUCCACUCAAACCGUUGUCGGAGGAUGAUGGGAGAAAUAAUAAUAAUAUGAGGCAAAUAAUAA
rnacentral:misc_RNA from 1 species